UAGCAGAUCUGGGUGAGGGAUGUGCAGGGUGGGAAUCAUGGGUGGUCCACUGGCAGAGCUCCCCUGCCCCCCUCUCUGAUUAGCUUUUACCUCCUUCCUGAAGGAGCUUUGUCUGGCAAAGGAAGAAAGGGACAAGUUGCUUCAGGAGAAGCAGGAGCUGGAAAAGGAGCUGGAGGAGAGGAGAGUGGCCUGGGAGAAGCAAGCUAAGGUCCCUUAGAGAUUUAUCUGCUGGCAGAAGAAAGAGGAUAUGAUGAGCUGUCUCCUGCUACUUGGGACAGUGCAUCAAUUUACUUGGCCAGGCUACAGACCCUCUUUGAAUCAUGAAGGACAAUUUUAAUGGAAGCCAGUGCAGCCC